GAUGAACGCUGGCGGCGUGCUUAACACAUGCAAGUCGAACGGGUCUAGUUUACUAGGCUAGUGGCGGACGGGUGCGUAACACGUAGGUGACCUGCCCUGGAGUGGGGAAUAAUUCCGCGAAAGCGGGACUAAUACCGCAUGAAGUUGCUCAUUCGUUUGGGCAACCAAAGUCGCAAGAUGCUUCUGGAUGGGGCCUGCGGCGGAUUAGCUAGUUGGUGGGGUAAAGGCCUACCAAGGCGAUGAUCCGUAGGGGGCGUGAGAGCGUGACCCCCCACAUUGGCACUGAGACACGGGCCAAACUCCUACGGGAGGCUG
rnacentral:rRNA from 1 species